rnacentral:ncRNA from 2 species
UGACAUUGCCACAUUGCAGGCGCAGCAUCUUCGAGAUUGUCCUGACGGUGGAAGCCGGUGUGAAUCCGGCGCGGUCGCGCCACUGUAACCGCGAAAGCCUCGCGGAAGUCAGACCCCUGUUCAUGGCAAGCAGA